rnacentral:rRNA from 1 species
CUACGGGGUGCUGCAGUGAGGAAUAUUGCACAAUGGGGGGAACCCUGAUGCAGCAACGCCGCGUGGAGGAUGACGCAUUUCGGUGUGUAAACUCCUUUUAUAUGUCAAGAAAAUGACGGUAGCAUAUGAAUAAGCACCGGCUAACUCCGUGCCAGCAGCCGCGGUAAUACGGAGGGUGCAAGCGUUACUCGGAAUCACUGGGCGUAGAGGACGCGUAGGCGGAUUGGAAAGUCAGGUGUGAAAUCCUACAGCUUAACUGUAGAACUGCACUUGAAACUUCUAAUCUAGAGUAUGGGAGGGGGAGAUGGAAUUAGUGGUGUAGGGGUAAAAUCCGUAGAUAUCACUAGGAAUACCUAAAGCGAAGGCGAUCUCCUGGAACAUUACUGACGCUAAGGCGUGAAAGCGUGGGGAGCAAACAGGAUUAGAUACCCCUGUAGUC